GGAACAGGGGGACAGCGUGGCUCAGGAGAACACUAAGGGAGUCCACAAGUUUCUGGCCAACUCUCAUGCAACAGAUUGAAAUGCAUUUCUUUGUUGGUCCAGGGCCGUUCUAGUCCUCAGGUCCACGGGGGGUCUUGUUUCCUUGAUUCAUGAGCUCAGUUUUAGGUUAGGUGUAUGAGGUGUGGCCGGCUCUGGGCACCCUUCACCAACCGGUGCCUGCACAGGAAUACAUUUUCCUGAUUCUCUUAGGGGCACGAUGAGUUGAAAAUCCCAGCCAGUCUCAAGGAGGGAAUUCUGGUCCUCUAGGACCAGAAACAGUAUCCAAGUGUCUGUUCCCAGGGAGAUCGGGCUUAAGGGCACCCUGAUUUUAAGUCUUAGCCCCAGAUCUUGGCUCCACUAUUGAAUGGUGCAUCGAAUCCUCAGUUUCCUUAUGUGUUUUGGUGCACUAGUGCAUGCAAUAGUGCACCCCAGGUCUCUGUCUCCUCGCAAAGGACCGAGCCCAGGGCAGCCAGCAGAUGGCGCUGCCAGUCCAUCUGCUCUUUUUAAGUCUUGUAGAAUUUUUGGGGUUUAGGGAAUAUUCCUCCAAAGAGUGAACCAACUCAAAAUGUGGGCCUCAGUGCACAGGAAAAGAGUAGGAAGGUCCUAAUGGGCUCUCAGAGGAAAGAGAGAGUGAGAAAACAGAAUGGGCACCCUUGCCACAUCCUAAAUCAGUUUUCCAUGCCGGUAGGCUGGCUUCAGGACUGGGAGUCCUGUCUGUUGCAGUGUUCUGGGUUCCAGGAUUAUGGAAUGGGGUGGGGAGAAGAGCUUUUGCAGGGCAGAGGACAUCUGCCAUGGCUUCCUCCCUUAGGUACCCUAUCAACUCUCUCUUGGCUCCUAGGACUGAUGGCAGGGAGGUACAAAACCUUGUGGAAUUCAGCAAAGGCAGCCAUAGGCAUGGGGCAGAAGUGACUGAAGUCCAGUCCUGUCCUCGGGACUCUGACAUCUGCUUCCUGGGCUUCAGCAGGGGAUGACCUCAGCCUUCAAGCCAGGUGUCUUUCCCAUCUUCCCACCAAGGUGAAAUGCACUGAUGACAUUGCACAAGAGCAUCCUGGGCUGGCCUCUGACUUCUCCAGUAGGGCCCUCCCAGGCCCUUUGUCAUUCACACACAGUCCUGGGCCUCAGUUUUGGUCUGUGGAACAGGAACGUAGGGUUAGAUAUGAGGUACCCCCCAAAAGCUCAUGUGUCAGACAGUAAAGAAAGUUUAGAGAUGAAAUGAUUGGGUUAUGACAGCCGUGACCUAAUCAGUGCAUUCAUCCACCUGAUGGAUCAGCGGGGUGGUAACUGUAGGCAGCUAGGUGUGGCUGGAGGAGGCAGGUCACAGGAGCGUGCCUUUGGGAGUUGUAUUUCUUCCCUGGUGAGCAGAGCUCUCGCUGCUUCCUGGUUCCAGGUCCUGAGCUGCUUUCCUCCUCCACGCCCUUCUGCCCAGAGCAUGGAGUCAGCUGUCUGUGGACUGAGACCUCUGAAACCAUGAUCCCCAAAUAAACUUUUCCUCCUUUAA
rnacentral:lncRNA from 1 species